UUGCAUUUUCUACUUGACUGAUUUUUAACACCGGGUGCUUUUAAAUAAACCUUUUGCAGAUGACCUCUCUGCAUUCUUACAGAUUACAGGACAGAGACUUGCAAUGUUCAUGAUCUUAAGCAGAGCCUGUAAGCCAAGCAUUUGGGAGGUAAAGAUAGGAAGAUUAUAAGUUCAAGAAUAGCCUGAGCUCCAUGGUGAGUUCAAAGCCAGCCCUAGCCAUGUUGUAAGACCCUGUCUCAAAAUUAAAAAAAUAAAAAAUAAAA
rnacentral:lncRNA from 1 species